GAUGAACGCUAGCGGCAGGCUUAACACAUGCAAGUCGAGGGGUAGAGGCUUUCGGGCCUUGAGACCGGCGCACGGGUGCGUAACGCGUAUGCAAUCUGCCUUGUACUGGGGGAUAGCCCAGAGAAAUUUGGAUUAAUACCCAAUAGUAUUUUCGGUUGGCAUCAACUGAUUAUUAAAGUUUUUCGGUACAAGAUGAGCAUGCUUCCCAUUAGCGAGUUGGUAUGGUAACGGCAUACCAAGGCUACGAUGGGUAGGGGUCCUGAGAGGGAGAUCCCCCACACUGGUACUGAGACACGGACCAGACUCCUACGGGAGGCAGCAGUGAGGAAUAUUGGUCAAUGGUCGCAAGACUGAACCAGCCAUGCCGCGUGCAGGAUGAAGCAUCUAUGGUGUGUAAACUGCUUUUGUACGGGAAGAAACACUCCUACGUGUAGGGGCUUGACGGUACCGUAAGAAUAAGGAUCGGCUAACUCCGUGCCAGCAGCCGCCGUAAGAC
rnacentral:rRNA from 1 species